UCCCUGGUGGUUAAGUGACUAAGACUUUACAUUCCCAAUGCAGUGGGCCCAGGUUUAAUCCCUGGUCGGGGAA
rnacentral:tRNA from 1 species